AUCAAACUACAUGUACAAAUACUUGAGUCUAAAUUUAUAACAACAGGAAAUGUUCAAACUUAAACAUGAAGUCAUUCUAAGUAACUCUUAAACCAAUGCAAAAAAAUCUAUAUACAGUUAUACACAAUUAUAAAAGAGGGACGAAAGAUACCAAAGGGACAGUCAAACUCAUAAAUCUAAAACAAACUGACAACGCCAUGGCUAAAAAUGAAAAAGACAAACAGAAAAACAAUAGUACACAUGACACAACAUAGAAAACUAAAGAAUAAACAACACGAACCCCACCAAAAACUAGGGGUGAUCUCAGGUGCUCCGGAAGGGUAAGCAGAUCCUGCUCCACAUGUGGCACCCGUCGUGUUGCUUAUGUGAUUACAAAUCCGGUAAAUAGUCUAAUUCGGUAGGUCACAUUCAUGAAAGGGAAGGGGAUUGUAGUUACGACGUAAGAAACAUAUCCGAUAUCAUUUGUGAAACGGUUAUUCCAUAACGGUCAACCAACUCGUGAUGGCGUCCGUAAAAUUUACAAAGGGAUGAUUUCAACUUCACCAUUUGGAACUCUUGGUUUAAU
rnacentral:lncRNA from 1 species